rnacentral:rRNA from 1 species
ACGCUGUCAUCUGUGGGGAACAAUUCUCUCUCCUAAAGGGUCGCGUGGAUCGCAAGAGAGUAGUAUACACGGAUACCAGUUAUCUCAAAGGAUGCCGGGGGCCGCCAACCGGAGAAAUUGUUUAUUCGGAUACCGAGGAACUACGGCCGACGCCAUUGAAGGAUCUAGAGAAAGGCGUCUCGGACACUGUCGAGGUGCUGCAUGUGUCGUCAGCUCGUGCCGGGAGGUGUCGCUAAGUGCCAUAACGAGCGCAACCCUUGCCAUUAGUUACCAGCACGUAAAGGUGGGGACUCUAGUGGGACUGCCACCGUAAGGUGAGAGGAGGGGGGGGAUGACGUCAAAUCAGCACGGCCCUUACGUCUGGGGCGACACACGUGUUACAAUGGUGGGUACAGAGGGCAGCUACCUGGCGACAGGAUGCAAAUCUCGAAAACCCAUCUCAGUUCGGAUCGGAGUCUGCAACACGACUCCGUGAAGUUGGAUUCGCUAGUAAUCGCGCAUCAGCCAUGGCGCGGUGAAUACGUUCCCGGGCCUUGUACACACCGCCCGUCAAGCCAUGAAAGCUGGGGGUGCUUGAAGUCCGUGACCGAAAGGAGCGGCCUAGGGCAAAACUGGU